rnacentral:rRNA from 1 species
AACGAACGCUGGCGGCAUGCCUAACACAUGCAAGUCGAACGAUGCUUUCGGGCAUAGUGGCGCACGGGUGCGUAACGCGUGGGAAUCUGCCCUGGGGUUCGGGAUACCAGCGGGAAACUGCUGCUAAUACCGGAUGAUAUCGCGAGAUCAAAGAUUUAUCGCCCUGGGAUGAGCCCGCGUCGGAUUAGGUAGUUGGUGGGGUAAGAGCCUACCAAGCCGACGAUCCGUAGCUGGUCUGAGAGGAUGAUCAGCCACACUGGGACUGAGACACGGCCCAGACUACUACGGGAGGCAGCAGUGGGGAAUAUUGGACAAUGGGCGCAAGCCUGAUCCAGCAAUGCCGCGUGAGUGAUGAAGGCCUGAGGGUUGUAAAGCUCUUUUACACGGGAUGAUAAUGACAGUACCGGGAGAAUAAGCCCCGGCUAACUCCGUG